GUAGGUGGCAAGCGUUGUCCGGAUUUAUUGGGCGUAAAGAGCGCGCAGGCGGUUCGUUAAGUCCGAGGUGAAAUCUCCCGGCUCAACUGGGAGGGGUCUUCGGAUACUGGCGGACUUGAGGAGUGCAGAGGUGAGUGGAAUUCUCGGUGUAGUGGUGAAAUGCGUAGAUAUCGAGAGGAACACCAGCGGCGAAGGCGGCUCACUGGGCACCACCUGACGCUGAGGCGCGAAAGCGUGGGGAGCGAACCGGAUUAGAUACCCGGGUAGUCCACGCCGUAAACGAUGGGCACUAGGUGUGAGGGGUAUUGACCCCCUUCGUGCCGAAGCUAACGCAAUAAGUGCCCCGCCUGGGGAGUACGGCCGCAAGGCUA
rnacentral:rRNA from 1 species